UACAGAGGUCUCAAGCGUUGUUCGGAUUCAUUGGGCGUAAAGGGUGCGUAGGUGGCAUGGUAAGUCGGAUGUGAAAUCCCGGGGCUCAACCCCGGAACUGCAUUCGAUACUGCCAGGCUAGAGUACUGGAGAGGAGAUUGGAAUUUACGGUGUAGCGGUGAAAUGCGUAGAUAUCAGGAGGAAUACCGGUGGCGAAAGCGACUCUCUGGACGGCAACUGACGCUGAGGCACGAAAGCGUGGGGAGCAAACAGG
rnacentral:rRNA from 1 species